CCCUUAGAUGUUCUGGGCGGCCCGCGCACUACAAUGGCGUGUGCAGCGAGUGCCGAAGUAGAGUUUUCCGAGGUAUUCUUGCAAUGCUCGUUUUGAUGGGGAUAGACCCUUGCAACUGUUGGUUUUGAACGAGGAAUUCCUUGUAAGCAUGGUUUAUCAUCCGACGCUGAAUGCGUCCCUGCCCUUUGUACACACCGCCCGUCGCUCCUACCGAUUGAAUGGUUCGGUGAAGAUCUCGGACUUCGAUAUUUAUUCUUUAUUGAGUUUAUAUUGUGGGAAGUUAUCUAAACCUCAUCAUUUAGAGGAAGGUGAAGUCGUAACA
rnacentral:rRNA from 1 species